GAUGAUUUUUGAGUGGAGGCGGCUGAAGUGAGGCAGCCCCGUCAUCAUGUCGGCAGCAGCCGUGGACACAGCUAACGCGGCACCCCUGUUGGGGUCCAAAGAAAUGAAUUUAGAGGAACCAAAGAAGAUGACUAGAGAGGACUGGAGAAAGAAGAAGGAGUUAGAGGAACAGCAGAAGUUGGGCAAUGCUCCUGCAGAGGUUGAUGAAGAAGGAAAAGACAUCAAUCCUCAUAUUCCUCAGUAUAUUUCUUCAGUGCCAUGGUAUAUUGAUCCAUCCAAAAGACCUACCUUAAAGCAUCAGAGACCACAGCCAGAAAAACAAAAGCAGUUCAGUUCAUCUGGAGAAUGGUACAAGAGAGGUGUCAAAGAGAAUUCUGUAACAACCACGUACCGCAAGGGAGCAUGUGAAAACUGUGGGGCCAUGACACACAAGAAGAAGGACUGCUUUGAGAGACCUAGGCGAGUUGGAGCCAAAUUUACAGGCACUAACAUAGCUCCAGAUGAACAUGUCCAGCCUCAGUUGGAGUUUGACUAUGAUGGGAAGAGAGAUCGGUGGAAUGGCUACAAUCCAGAGGAACACAUGAAAAUUGUGGAGGAGUAUGCCAAAGUGGACCUGGCAAAAGGAACAUUGAAAGCCCAGAAACUGCAAGAAGAAUUAGCUUCAGGAAAAUUAGCAGAACAAGCUAAUUCUCCAAAACACCAGUGGAGAGAAGAGGAACCAAACUUUCAGAUGGAGAAAGAUUAUAAUAGCAAAAAUGAGGAUGAAGAUAAAUAUGCAGAUGACAUUGACAUGCCUGGGCAGAAUUUUGACUCCAAGAGACGAAUCACUGUCAGAAAUCUCAGGAUUCGAAAAGAUAUUGCAAAAUAUUUGAGAAAUUUGGAUCCAAAUUCUGCCUAUUAUGACCCAAAAACUAGAGCAAUGAGAGAGAAUCCAUAUGCCAAUGCAGGGAAGAAUCCAGAUGAAGUGAGUUAUGCUGGAGAUAACUUCAUUAGAUACACAGGAGAUACUAUCUCGGUGGCUCAGACACAAUUGUUUGCUUGGAAAACCUAUGACAGGGUCUGAAGGGCAUCUGCAGGCAGAUCCUACAAAACUAGAGCUGCUGUAUAAGUCCUUCAAAGUCAAAAAAGAAGAUUUCAAGGAACAGCAGAAAGAGAGCAUCCUGGAAAAGUAUGGUGGCCAGGAACACUUGGAUGCGCCUCCGGCUGAGUUGCUCCCAGCACAGACAGAGGAUUACGUGGAGUACUCAAGACAUGGCACAGUCAUCAAAGGGCAGGAGUGGGCUGUUGCCUGCUCCAAGUAUGAGGAAGACAUGAAGAUCAACAAUCACACACAUAUCUGGGGAUCCUCCUGGAAAGAAGGCAGAUGGGGAUACAGAUGCUGCCACUCAUUUUUCAAGUAUUCCUAUUGUACAGGGGACGCGGGGAAGGAGAUUGUUAACUCAGAGGAAUGUAUUACAGAUGAUAUAACUGGAGAAGAAUGUAUGAAAAAACCUCAAACUCGCAUGGAGAUGCACCAAGAAAAACUAAAGGAGGAGAAAAAGAAGAAGAAAAAGAAGAAGCGCCGAAAGAGCAGCUCAGAGAGUGAUGAUGAGGAAAAGAAACAUGAAAAAUUGAAGAAGGCAUUGAAUGCUGAAGAAGCCCGCCUUCUUCAAGUCAAGGAGAUCAUGCAGAUUGAUGAGAGGAAGCGGCCUCACAACAGUGUAUAUGAAGCUCGGGAGCCCACUGAAGAGGAGAUGGAGGCCUACAGGAUGAAGCGCCAGAGGCCAGAUGACCCCAUGGCCUCUUUCCUCGGACAGUAGCGAUGAAGCACAGAGGUAACUGAUGAACUCAUUCACCUUCUGAAAAGUUGUAGGCAGAAGACUCCUAGCCACCUCUCACCUAACUUUAAUAAAGCUUCGGAAGUCUCAAAGGCAAUUUGUUCUUUUCCACACUGAGGAAACAAAAGAGAAGAAAACUAGAGGAAGUACAUUAAUAUGGGUUAGGGUUGGAUCCAGUCUAGUUUUACACUAGUGACGGGGAAGGGCCUUGGUUGUCUAUCAAAAGUCUUCUACUCAACAGUGAAGUCUGUUUCCUCAGUUUUCUAACUCUACCUAAUAGUACUGCACACUAUGAAAGUAGAUUUGUUACUUUCUCAAAACUAGAAAUUUUCUUUUCCUUUUUUUUUUUUAAUGUGUCAGGGAUCGAACUCAGGACCUUGUGCUUGCCAGGCAGGU